UUGGUCAAGGAAUUUGAUUACCUCAGCUCCAAGGCCUUGGCUAGGCCUGUAUUUGGCCUGAUUGCCUGGCUCCAACAUGCAAGAAGAAGGUAGAGCGUCCAAAGAUAUGCUCAGGAGAUCUGGACUCGGCUGCUUUUGCUGACCGGCGUGACCUGACACUGUUGGCAGCGGUUUUAGUGAUUGACAUUAUCGUAGAUAUCACCUUCCAUGGAUUAUACGGCGUGAUAGCGCGGAUGCGGAAUCUCUCCCUCCCUCAGCUUGCAUUCUGAAAAGGAAGUUGUCAAGCAGCACACCAGUCUUCCUCCCUGAGUAAUUAGAAGCCGUGUAGCUGAAAGGGGUGGGGGGCGGGGGGGGGGGCGGAGAGAGAGAGAGAGAGACUACUUGCACGUUAAUUGAUCAAAUGUGGUGGAUUUGACAAUAUUAUCGAGUUAUAAUAUUGAGCAGAUUGUUCUGUAAACAUGUUGCUUCCUUUCACGUAGGUUCGGUAUAAGGACCUCUACUUUUUGCUAUAUAUAAAUGAUGUAGUCUCGGGCCUGCAAGCCCAACUUCUGAAGUUUGUGAUGACACAAAAUGUGUCGGUAUUGUAAAUUGCAAAGAGUUUAGUGAUCCACUGCAGCAGGACAUAGAGUGGCUGGUGGAAUGAGCAGGUCCAUGACAAAUGAAGCGUAAUGAGGAGAUACAGUAGUGUCUUAUGUUUUGGCUGAAGUUACACUCUCUGCUUCCGAAGACAAAAUGGCUCAGAAGUAACCCAAGAGGCCCAUAUUUUUGAGUCACCAUAACUCCAGGCAGAGCAGUUGUGAUACUGCAUUGAGGUGCAUUGGGAUGGAACGCUUUCAAAAGUGCAUCUGUAAAAAUUGGGCAAGGUAACUGACAGCAUGCUGAAUUUCCAUCUCGUUCCAAGGAAGCAGAGGUACAGUUGUGUUUUCCUGGCCGGUGUGGCUAUGUGGCUAGACCAGAGCAAUUCAUUAGGCACAGCAACGUGAUUCAUUAUGAGCAAAUAACUACCAAUUCAGCUUUAAAUUCGAAGGAGUGAUGAUACAACAUUCUGCAUAAUUAAAACAUCUGACCUCAUUGGAAGAACUUAUCACAAUGCCUCUAAACCUACCUGUAAAUUCAAUUUACCUGUGUUUAUAAUA